AAAUCAGUUUUUUUAAAUGUUAAAAAUAUAAAAUUAAAAACCAUCCUCCAACAUGGGAUUAACAAAUAUUUCAAUUCUUCUAGCUUGCUAUACAGCACCCAUAAGGUGUUCUUUUCUUCUCCUUGAAACACCAGUAAAAUAUUCUUACCUGCAAUCUUGAUCACGUUAGCCAUUGGGAUCAGGCACAAAAAGAGAAAAAAUGCCAAUCUUUCUCUACCUUUUUACCAUUGUCUGAGACUGGAAAUCACAUGACACCAAACAGCAGCUACAUGGUAGAGUAAUUACAAGGCAUUGAGACACUUGAUGGCAGCUAGCAACAACAAACAUGGACACCCUUGGGAUACAUAAACAAACUUGGUUCAGCUGCUAUGCAUA
rnacentral:lncRNA from 1 species